GUUAUAACCCGGAAGCCAAUAACAGGGUAGUGUGAGUGAAGUUACUGAUCCUCAGGGUGGUUAAGGCUCAAGGCUUGGGCUGAGUCUAGUCUUGAGCAGCCUCUCCUGAUAGCCCCUGCAUGAUCAGUGCAUAUUCUUUUUUUCUGAAUGUGCCUUUUCUUCUCCUUUCCUUCCACUCCAAAGUCCUGAAGACUCCAGCUCUCCUGGACUAUGUAGAAGGGGAGCUUUAAGUCUGGUACAACCUUCCUGCACCAUUCUGCAUCCCCUGCAGCAGUGACUCCAGAGCCACCUGGGGAUUGGACCUAGUACCUUGUCUUAAUGCUAUAUGUGGGCUGACAGAUUACUGGAGCCUCUCCUCAUUGGUCCUAAUGUUCCUUAAGUAUUUUUUUUUUUUUGGUACCGGAGACUGAACUCGGGACCUUGUGCUUGCGUGGUCCUAAUGUUUUUAUGAAGCUUUAAUGGGAGUGAGAGCCCUUGGGUUUAGCUGGCUGUAUAGUCACAGGUGUACAUGUUCAUAAGCAUGUCUUCUUUAUCUAUAAUUUCUUCAGUCUACAGCCUUUUUCUCCUUGGAUACAGGCACCUUGAAUUCCAUCUUUUAUUAAAAAGUGGGCCUAGUUCUUUUCAUUCAUAUUUUUCUGCUAUAUUUUCUCUGUAAAUUUAUUUCCAAAGUGAUUUUUUGGACCCUUAGAGUUUUUGAUAUUUAAAAAUCUGAUAAUUCUUAUCUUUGUUCUAUUUAAUUAUUGUUUUGUUAUGACAUUUCUACCAUCUUAUUUUAUGCUUUGCUUCUGUACUUUAUCAUUUUGCUCUUUUAUAUCUCCCACUUGAUAGAUCACAUAUUCUUCUGUUUGUUUGAAAUUUGGAAAUUUUUGAUAUUGUCAUGCAGUUACAUAAUUAAUUAUGUCAAUCUUCUCCCUAGUUGUAUACAUGAGCCAAUACUGCCAUCAUCUCAGCAGACUGAACAAGUUCUCCAGCCACCUCUAGAGGUGCAGCUUUGUCCAGUACUCUGUUGGAUUCUUGCCUCCAGUGUUGAUGUAGGAAAACCUGACAUCAAUCAAAAUCAAAUUUUCCUUAAAGGAUGAUCUGGCUUGUCAUCAUUUCAUCAGGAUCAAUCUUCAAUGUUAAAACUUGACUGCAUCAGAACUCAACUAGCAGAUAAGAGCCCCUGACUCUGUUAACCUCUGACAGCUUAUCUUAUUUAAGCUGUAAAUACUGGGGCUGUGGAAUCAUCUCUGUAUUCUUCUAAAAGUGAAUGUUGGGAUAAUUGAAGACUCUGGG
rnacentral:lncRNA from 1 species